rnacentral:rRNA from 1 species
UCGAGAAUUUUUCUCAAUGGGCGAAAGCCUGAAGGAGCGACGCCGCGUGGGGGAUGAAUGGCUUCGGCCCGUAAACCCCUGUCAUUUGCGAACAAACCUUUUCACAUAACACGUGAAAAGCUGAUUGUAGCGAAAGAGGAAGGGACGGCUAACUCUGUGCCAGCAGCCGCGGUAAUACAGAGGUCCCAAGCGUUGUUCGGAUUCACUGGGCGUAAAGGGUGCGUAGGUGGUCGGGUAAGUCUGAUGUGAAAUCUCCGAGCUUAACUCGGAAAUGGCAUUGGAUACUAUUCGGCUAGAGGGUUUGAGGGGGAACUGGAAUACUUGGUGUAGCAGUGAAAUGCGUAGAUAUCAAGUGGAACACCAGUGGCGAAGGCGAGUUCCUGGAAAACUCCUGACACUGAGGCACGAAAGCUAGGGGAGCAAACAGGAUUAGAUACCCCUGUAGUCC